rnacentral:rRNA from 1 species
AGUGAACGCUGGCGGCGUGCCUAAUACAUGCAAGUCGAACGGAGUGGCGAACGGGUGAGUAAUGUAUAGCUAAUAUGCCCUACACUAGAGGACAACAGUUGGAAACGACUGCUAAUACUCAAUAUUGUAGGAUGGGGAUAUAUUGUAUCAGCUAGGUGGUGAGGUGAUGGCUCCCUAAGGCUAUGACGAAUAACUGGUCUGAGAGGAUGAUCAGUCACUCGUGAACUGAGACACGGUCGAGACUCCUACGGGAGGCAGGAGUAGGGAAUAUUGCUCAAUGGGGGAAUACCUGAAGCAGCAUCGCCGCGUGGAGGAUGACACUUUUCGGAGCGUAAACUCCUUUUGUUAGGGAAGCGGUACCUAACGAAUAAGCACCGGCUAACUCCGUGCCAGCAGCCGCGGUAAUAC